CUGUUGGCCCAAUUUAUUCCCUUUUUCCCUUGAGCUUAGAUUUCGGUCGCCAUAAGGGUUUGGGUUGUAUCUUUCAUGCAAAAAAAUGAUUGACCUUCUUUUCUAAAGUUAAUUCAAGAUGAUAUCAGUUUUAUGAUCUAUGCUACAGAUGGAAGGAAGAAGUUCAUCAUUCUUUGAAAGAUGUAUAAAAUAUGAUUCAAUUGUUGAUGCUGUGAAAGA
rnacentral:lncRNA from 1 species